GCAGGCGCGCGGUGCGCUCCCCGCCGAGGCUCCCCUCGACGCCUGGGCCGCCGCGCAACCGCACUGGAGCGGCUUCUCCCGCUGCCGUCUUCGCGCAGACAAACUGCGGCCUGGACCAGCUGGUGAAACAUAAUUCUGAAUCCUGCCCACAGCCUUCGGUGGUUUUGGAUGAAAGGCCAGCGCCUUGGGAGCCCUGCGUUUGAUUUCAAGUUUUAAGGCCGGCACUGGUGGAGCAAUGAAUGGUGAAAGCUCUCCCCUUAAAGGAGCACAGUUGCCUUUAGGUGACUGCUAACUCAGGCUUUUGCUGAGGACAGUGUUUACUUUGUGAGCUUAAUGACAGGGCUGGCUUUCUGGGAGUGUUGCAAUGAAACAGACUCAGACACAGGCCAUCAUGGGCCUCCUCCCUAGCAAGGCCGCCACGGCUGGCAUCUCAAGAGCAGUCCGUUGAACUUGGGAUUUGGGUGUGAGACACAGUUUCAUCAGAAGAAUUUAAACCAAAGUCUACAUUUGCCCUCUAGAUAAAUGUGUGUGUUCAGCAGCAACCACA
rnacentral:lncRNA from 1 species